AAGUCGUAACAAGGUUUCCGUAGGUGAACCUGCGGAAGGAUCAUUAACACGUUUCUAACGUUUAAUGUAACCUUAACAUUAUUAAACUAAACCGGUAAUCUAAACCCUCCCUCAUGACAAGAGCAACUGUUCGUUGAAUCCAUGGUGGGUACAGAGUCACAUCUGUACGAGGAGACGAGCUAUCAGCCUUUGAGUUGAAAAGUGGUCUUGUUGUCAGGCACUCCUUUUUAUCUUCUAUCCCAUCAUGUUCUUUCUACUAUGAGAGAUGGUGGUGAUAGACUAUCAAAUACACCCUAUUCACCCUUUUCAACCUUAUUUGACUGAUGCGCAGGAAAGGCAAUCAGAAUCUGAUUUUCGGAUCAGUUCUGUUUCCUUCACUGAGUUUAUCUAAACCUAAGCACAACUCUUAGCAAUGGAUAUCUUGGUUCUC
rnacentral:misc_RNA from 1 species